ACCAGGAUGGCCGAGUGGUUAAGGCGUUGGACUUAAGAUCCAAUGAGCAAAUGUAUCUUAAGCAAAUGCUCUCGUGGGUUCAAACCCCACUCCUGGUA